rnacentral:lncRNA from 1 species
AUGCAUACCAUUCAUCCUUUUUGUUUUAGAAGUAGUAAACGUUGCUGAAAUAAGUGAUUAACCAGGAAGUCUGCAAAAACAGAACAAAAAGGAUAGAAAAAAACAGAAAAAUCUACAGUGGAAUUCAUCAACAGAAAUUAUGUAUACAGAAAACUAGGCCACAAUUUAUCAUUCAAUGACAAAAGUUACAAGUGGCAACUAACCUGUUAGACCUUUUUUUAUAAGUUUUGUUUCCCAAUAUAGAGAAACAGGAAAGCAUCAUUAUUUGUUUUUAACAAGCAAACACAACAAGAAGUAUUAGAACAUCUAUAAAUAAUGCUGCCCAUUAUUGACUCUUUUUCUUUGAAGAUAACCAAUGAAGAUGUUGUCAGCUGUACACAGAACAGCUCACCUCCACUGCAUUAGUCCUCUCUUUCUUCCCUCAGCUGGAUUUAAUAGUAAUAAAUUUUUCAAGUAUUUAACAUGUGCCUGUCACUGUUCUAAGUCUGCUAUAUGCAUUAUCUCACAGCCCUAUUAAGUAGGUAGCUUUCGUCCCAUUUUAUAAAUUAAACAAGUCGCUGGGCGCAGUGGCUCACUCCUGUAAUCCCAGCACUUUGGGAGGCCGAGGUGGGCAGAUUGCAAUGUCGGGAGUUCGAGACCAGCCUGGCCAACACAGUGAAACACCAUCUCUACUAAAACUACAAAAAUUAGCCGGUGUGGUGGCACAUGCCUGUAGCCCCAGCUACUUGGGAGGCUGAAGUAGGAGAAUCGCUUGAACCCAGGAGGCGGAGGCUGCAGUGAGCCGAGACCACGCCAUUGCACUCCACCCUGGGUGACACAGUGAGACUCCAUCUCAAAUAAAACAAAAACAAAAUAAAAAUUAAGUCUUGGAGAGAAUAAAUAACUGUCUCAAGGUUAUGGGGAUGGUGAGUGGCAGAGCCAGGGCGAAAGGAAGCAGAAAUAAUACUUUGUUCAUCUGAAAAGCAAGGUUGUUGCACAGUAUGGGCACUUUGUCCUAUUUUUAUAAAAUGAAAACUAAUAGGCCCCUCCUCUAGAGCGUUGUGUGUUUGUGAGAUUCCAAAACAAAAGGUCAGGGAGACUGCACUCCCCUCUUGGUUACCUCUGUGGUCUGAGGUAGGGAGAGCGGAGGAGAGUUCUUACUUCCAGUUAGGUAAUAUUCUCUGAGUCUCAAAUAGGACAAU